AUCCAGCUGAAGAGUCCCAUAUAGGACGAAACACGCGUCCUGGGU
rnacentral:hammerhead_ribozyme from 1 species